GUAAAAUUAAAAAAGACUUGCUUGAGAGAGAUUUUGCUUCUCAAGAGAGAACAAUAUUUUAUUACUUAUUUCCAUCACUCUUAGAGUAGAUGGACAGAAAACAUCCGUCCCCAAAAAACUGUCAACUGAAGCUGCCAAGGUUACAAGAAACACAGUGGCAUCAGGAAGAAGACCAAGGAAGUGUUGCUUUUCAGUUCUUUCUACAGAACAUGAGGCUUGGAAAAAGCUGUCUUUGCAGCAAACGUUCUUUCUUCUGUAGCUUCUGUGGUCCAGAGGAUUCAAUUCAGGAUGAAGAGGAUCUCCCAGGACUUUUCUCAGGGGAUCAGCCUCUACAUUGAGAAGUGUCACAAGGAGGAGAUAAUUUUAGUCCAACACAUAGAAAGUGUCAUGUACUCAAAGAGGACUGUAGCCUACUGGUUGACGUUGUGAUUGGAAAGUAGCUCAUGGGCUAAUCUUUGCCAUAGUGACAUUCUGUAUAUUCAUUUAUGUCUUUCUUACUUAUAAUGUUUAAUUUUUCUCCUUAAUUACCUGCCUGUUAAAAGUUUGGUAUUUCUGGGAGUUUCCUUCUCUUUCUUUCACCUCCCCAAUGAUAUCCAAUUAGUAUUCCAGUUUAUAUGAAAAUAUAAGAAUAAUUUUUGCACUUGGUGAGUGCACUUUAACUUAAUAUCCUUUCGAAAUUGAGAUAGAUUUCAUACACCAUCAAAUUAUCCUCCUAAAGUACAUGACUCAGUGGAUUUUACUACAUUUACAAAGCUGCACAGCCAUCACCACUGUCUAAUUCUAGACCUAAGAAAUGCAGUAGUCCUCCCUGCUUCCUGCCUAUGAAAUGUGUGGCUUGCCUUUAGUGUCCUCAUGAGGGAGCCUCAGAGAAUGGAGAAAGUUCAAGUUCAUCACGAUAGCACCUCGUCUGUGUACUCACAGGAACAGGUGAGUAAAUCUGAAAAGCACAAUAGCAUGGGCUAGAUGAUCACUUGAGUUAUAUCAUCUUCUUAAUUCCUGUGGUAGCUGAGCAUAGAAAUUUCAGUUUAGUCACAUAAACUGUAGCAUGAUUUUUUACUCCUCUUUUGAUAGCAAUCAUCAAAGAUUUAGAGAAAUGGAAGAAAUAAUAAAUUAUGGUUCACAGAAACCA
rnacentral:lncRNA from 13 species